GCCAUUUUUCAUUCAUCUGUGAUAUCUUUUUUGCAUCAUUGCAUAAACAUUGAAACCCAUCCAGUUUCAAUGCAGCUUCGAGGAGUGAUAAAGGGAGUCUAUUGGAAACUUGAUGACGUGUAUCAAAAAUGCGGUGCCAUAGGCGUAGGUCCUCCAUCAAUCAGAUGGGGAGACCUGAGGAAGUCAGAGGAAAGGGGACAGAAGACGCAACGCAGACUGGAGAUGAAGGAUUUCAAGGACGCAUGGACUACAAUUUAAUCUGAGAGGCUGUGAGCGGAGAGGAGGAGUGACAUAAGGAGGGGAGAAGUUCAUUAUCCCGCUGAAAAGGAAACCGAUGGCUUUCAUGGUCACCAUGGUUACCAGCCUUUCUUUCACCUUCAGACCUAUGAUAAGGUUCUUCACAGUAUUAAGCACAAUUAUUGGAAAGUGAAAAGGGAAAAUAUUGCUUUUCAAUACUAAUAGAUGCUGGAUAUUGAUUGGCAUGGCGAUUCAGGAGGAGCCCUGCCCUGGACGUUUUACUUGCAUCGUUCUGUUCAGCUUGUUAAGGAAAAGUCCAUUUUAACAUGCCCUAAAAGUUAUGUUUGAAAUGCUUUUUCCACAAGAGUUAUGAGGGACACUGUUCAGCACUGUUCAGACUGUCUUUAUUUGAUGUCAAUAGGUGAUAAAGUACUUAAAGUAGACAAGUCCCUAACACAGACCAACAUGCCACUGAAAAGGAAGGCAGUGGACAACACAAUAUUUUACAAGGGGUUAGUUGAACGUUGAUUUAGCAUUAAUUCAAAGCUUAUUUAACUGGAGA